rnacentral:rRNA from 1 species
ACGUUGGGAACUAGUUGUGGGGUCCAUUCCACGGAUUCCGUGACGCAGCUAACGCAUUAAGUUCCCCGCCUGGGGAGUACGGCCGCAAGGCUAAAACUCAAAGGAAUUGACGGGGACCCGCACAAGCGGCGGAGCAUGCGGAUUAAUUCGAUGCAACGCGAAGAACCUUACCAAGGCUUGACAUAUACGAGAACGGGCCAGAAAUGGUCAACUCUUUGGACACUCGUAAACAGGUGGUGCAUGGUUGUCGUCAGCUCGUGUCGUGAGAUGUUGGGUUAAGUCCCGCAACGAGCGCAACCCUCGUUCUAUGUUGCCAGCACGUAAUGGUGGGAACUCAUGGGAUACUGCCGGGGUCAACUCGGAGGAAGGUGGGGAUGACGUCAAAUCAUCAUGCCCCUUAUGUCUUGGGCUUCACGCAUGCUACAAUGGCCGGUACAAAGGGCUGCAAUACCCUGAGGUGGAGCGAAUCCCAAAAAGCCGGUCCCAGUUCGGAUUGAGGUCUGCAACUCGCCCUCAUGAAGUCGGAGUCGCUAGUAAUCGCAGAUCAGCA